rnacentral:rRNA from 1 species
GUGGGGAAUAUUGGACAAUGGGCGAAAGCCUGAUCCAGCCAUGCCGCGUGUGUGAAGAAGGUCUUCGGAUUGUAAAGCACUUUAAGUUGGGAGGAAGGGCAGUAAGUUAAUACCUUGCUGUUUUGACGUUACCGACAGAAUAAGCACCGGCUAACUUCGUGCCAGCAGCCGCGGUAAUACGAAGGGUGCAAGCGUUAAUCGGCAUUACUGGGCGUAAAGCGCGCGUAGGUGGUUUUGUAAGUUGGAGGUGAAAUCCCCGGGCUCCACCUGGGAACUGCCUCCAAAACUGCAUGACUAGAGUACGGUAGAGGGUAGUGGAAUUUCCUGUGUAGCGGUGAAAUGCGUAGAUAUAGGAAGGAACACCAGUGGCGAAGGCGACUACCUGGACUGAUACUGACACUGAGGUGCGAAAGCGUGGGGAGCAAACAGGAUUAGAUACCCGGGUAGUCC